rnacentral:rRNA from 1 species
GCGAACGCUGGCGGCAGGCCUAACCCAUGCCAGUCGAACGAACCUUUCGGGGUUAGUGGCGGACGGGUGAGUCACACGUGGGAACGUGCCUUUAGGUUCGGAAUAACUCAGGGAAACUUGUGCUAAUACCGAAUGUGCCCUUCGGGGGAAAGAUUAAUCGCCUUUAGAGCGGCCCGCGUCUGAUUAGCUAGUUGGUUGAGGUAAUGGCUCACCAAGGCGACGAUCAGUAGCUGGUCUGAGAGGAUGAUCAGCCACAUUGGGACUGAGACACGGCCCAAACUCCUACGGGAGGCAGCAGUGGGGAAUCUUGCGCAAUGGGCGAAAGCCUGACGCAGCCAUGCCGCGUGAAUGAUGAAGGUCUUAGGAUUGUAAAAUUCUUUCACCGGGGACGAUAAUGACGGUACCCGGAGAAGAAGCCCCGGCUAACUUCGUG